CCUACGGGUGACAGCAGUGGGGAAUAUUGCGCAAUGGGCGAAAGCCUGACGCAGCGACGCCGCGUGAGGGAUGAAGGUCUUCGGAUCGUAAACCUCUUUCAGCAGGGAAGAACGGUCACUGUGCUGAUCAGCAGUGAAUUGACGGUAACUGAAAAGGAAGCACCGGCUAAAUCCGUGCCAGCAGCCGCGGUAAUACGGAGGGUGCGAGCGUUAAUCGGAAUUACUUGGCGGAAAGCGCUCGUAGGCGGUAUGUCAAGUCAAGAGUGAAAUCCCCGCGCUCAACGUGGGAACUGCCUUUGAAACUGGGAACCUGGAGUGCGUGAGAGGAUAGUGGAAUGCGAGGUGUAGGAGUGAAA
rnacentral:rRNA from 1 species